GACGAACGCUGGCGGCGUGCUUAACACAUGCAAGUCGCACGAAGUGGCGAACGGGUGAGUAACGCGUAAUCAACCUGCCCUUCAGAGGGGGAUAACAGUUGGAAACGACUGCUAAUACCGCAUACUGAAGGAGGGGAUUGCGUCUGAUUAGCUAGUUGGCGGGGUAACGGCCCACCAAGGCGAUGCUCAGUAGCAGGUCUGAGAGGAUGAACGGCCAGAUUGGGACUGGGACACGGCCCAGACUCCUACGGUAGACAGCAGUGGGGAAUCUUCCGCAAUGGACGAAAGUCUGACGGAGCAACGCCGCGUGAGUGAUGACGGCCUUCGGGUUGUAAAGCUCUGUUAAUCGGGACGCGGUACCGGAAUAGAAAGCCACGGCUAACUACGUGCCAGCAGCCGCGGUAAUUC
rnacentral:rRNA from 1 species